CAAUCCAUGAACAUGGAAUGCGUUUCUAUUUCUUUGUGUCUUCCUUAAUGUCUUUCAGAAGCGUUCUUUAUUUUUUAGGGUAUAGAUCCUUUACCUCUUUGGUUAGGUUUAUUCCUAGCUAUCUUAUGCUUUUGGGUGCAAUUGUAAAUGGGAUUGACUCCUUAAUUUCUCUUUCUUCAGUCUCAUUGUUAGUGUAUAGAAAUGCCACUGACUUCUGGGCAUUUUUUUUUUUUGACAUAUCCUGCCGCAGGUUUAUUUGUACAAAUAGCACAGGAGGACACCAGGCCCAUGCAGACAGAAGCCCAGGGGUCAUACCAGUCCUUCCGUCCUCACACUGGCAGGCAGAAGCCUCUACGCUGGAGCCUUUGUGGGGGCCUGGGCGCUGCAGGAGUAGAAGCAGGAGCUGGAGCCGGAGCCGGGGUCGCAGCUGCAGCCUGGGCCUUGGUUUGAGCCUUGGCCUUGGCCUUUGGCCGGCAGAGCCUGAGACCUUUGGCAAUGCGGGCAUGAGCACAUUUCCCAAGCUUGGGGUGAGUGAUGUAGGCAAGUCCAUUGAGCUUGCAGCUGCCGCCCUUUGGGAUAUUGGGUUUAACCUUCUUGGGCUUGACAAGAGCCUUGAUAGCCUCAGCACGCGCAGCCAUGGCCUUGGCAUUGUUGGCCUGCAUCUUCUUCAGGCCCUUCUUGUUGUGCUUCUUGGCAAAGCGCAUGUUCCUCAGGAACUUGGGGUACUGGUUGUGCGUGGUGUGGUUCUUGGACUUGGCCAUGUCUGCACCAAAGCCCGUGGCUCCCCGAGCGCCUCGGACCGGAAGAGAAAAAGAGAGAGCUGACUUCUGGGCAUUGAUUUUGUAUCCUGCCACACUGCCAAAUUGCUGUAUGAGUUCUAGCAAUCUUGGGGUGGAGUCUUUUGAGUUUUCUACAUACAAUACCAUGUCAUCUGCAAAGAGGGAGAGUUUGACUUCUUCUUUGCCAAUUUGAAUGCCUUUUAUUUCUUUUUGUUGCCUGAUUGCUGAGGCUAGGACUUCUAGUACUAUGUUGAAUAGCAGUCGUGAGAGUGGACAUCCCUGUCUUGUUCCUGAUCUUAGGGGAAAGGCUCCCAGUGUUUCCUCAUUGAGAAUAUUGGCUGUGGGCUUUUUGUAGAUGGCUUUUAAGAUGCUGAGGAACGUUCCCUUUAUCCCUACAUUCUGAAGAGUUUUGAUCAGGAAUGGAUGCUGUAUUUUGUCAAAUGCUUUCUCUGCAUCUAUUGAGAGGAUCAUACAGUUCUUGUUUUUUUCUCUUGUUGAUAUGAUCUAAUACAUUGAUUGCUUUAUGAGUGUUGAACCAGCCUUGCAUCCCGGGGAUAAAUCCCACUUGGUCAUGGUGAAUAAUUUUAAUGUACUGUUGGAUCCUAUUGGCUAGUAUCUUGCUGAGAAUUUUUGCAUCUGUGUUCAUCAGGGAUAUUGGUCUAUAAUUCUCCUUUUUGGUGGGGUCUUUCUCUGGUUUUGGAAUUAAAGUGAUGCUGGCCCCAUAGACGAGUUUGGAAGUAGUCCAUCCCUUUCUAUCUUUCGGAACAGCUUUAGUAGAAUGAAUAGGUAUUGUUUCUUCUUUAAACGUCUGAUAGAAUUCCCCUGGGAAGCCAUCUGGCCCUGGACUUUUGUGUCUUGGGAUGUUUUGGAUGACUGCUUCAAUUUCCUCCCUGGUUAUUGGCCUGUUCAGGUUUUCUAUUUCUUCCUGUUCCAGUUUUGGUAAUUUGUGGCUUUCCAGAAAUGUGUCUAUUUCUUCUAGAGUGCCUAAUUUAUUGGUACCAAGCUGCUCAUAAUACGUUUUUAAAAUCAUUUGUAUUUCCUUGGUAUUGGUUGUCAUCUCUCCUUUUUCAUUCAUGAUUUUAUUAAUUAGAGUCUUUUCUCUUUUGUUUUUAAUAAAGCUGGCUAAUGGUUUAUCUAUCUUAUUAAU
rnacentral:lncRNA from 1 species